UCCUUUCUCUGCUUUCCAUCAUAUUGCUCUUCUUUUAGUGGUUUCUUAGUUUUUCACAAAGUCGACUGGCUCUUGUGUUGAAUCUCUUUCAAUUCUCUUUAGCUGUUCACUAGUUGUUUCACUUAUCCUAAGAGACUCGAUGGCUUUUUCAAUCUACAGUAUUUCUCUGAACAAACUUGUUCUUCCUGAACUAUCCUUGCAGCCAAGAACUAAACGACCCCUUCCAUUUCAUGGACCAAAUUGACAAGGUUUAGAACGUUGAUCUGUACUAUGGA